rnacentral:rRNA from 1 species
UGACCUCGGAUCAGGUAGGACUACCCGCUGAACUUAAGCAUAUCAAUAAGCGGAGGAAAAGAAACCAACAGGGAUUGCCCCAGUAACGGCGAGUGAAGCGGCAACAGCUCAAAUUUGAAAUCUGGCCCUCGGGUCCGAGUUGUAAUUUGGAGAGGAUGCUUCUGGCGCGGCGCCGUCCGAGUUCCUUGGAACAGGACGCCAUAGAGGGUGAGAGCCCCGUACGGGCGGACGCCUAGCCUUUGUGAAGCUCCUUCGACGAGUCGAGUAGUUUGGGAAUGCUGCUCAAAAUGGGAGGUAAAUUUCUUCUAAAGCUAAAUACCGGCCAGAGACCGAUAGCGCACAAGUAGAGUGAUCGAAAGAUGAAAAGCACUUUGAAAAGAGGGUUAAAAAGUACGUGAAAUUGUUGAAAGGGAAGCGCCUGUGACCAAACUUGCUGCCCGCGGAUCAUCCGGCGUUCUUCGCCGGUGCGCUCCGCGGGCGGCAGGCCAGCAUCGGUUCUCCUGGGGGGUUAAAGGUUGCGGGAACGUGGCUCCUACGGGAGUGUUAUAGCCCGCUUCGUCAUGCCUCCGGGGGGACCGAGGACCGCGCUUCGGCAAGGAUGCUGGCGUAAUGGUCACCGGCGACCCGU